GCAAAGGCACCUUAAAACUGAGACCUAAAACAUCAUUUAAUAAGAGGAAAACAGGGAUGCCUUGUCAGGCACAUCAAAAGGAAAGCAAUCCUUCUUCUGGAUUCAAGGCAGUCACACUCACUUUCCUACUUAACAGAACAUUACCAAAAGAACAAGCCUACUUCUUCUUUAGGAAAAAAUGGGGAAAACUAAUCCAAAUCCGUCAUUUCUUUUGCAGACCAUAAAUUUCCUUUAUAAACUAACUGAUCUUAUUUUAUAAGGAAUAAAUAGCAAGCCAAUUCAGAAAAUUUCCAGGAUUUUAAAGUGGGUACAGUGAACAGCUUCUAACCUCUUAAUUUCAACUGGCCAUAUUAGCUUAUAAUUUGCUAAAAACGAUGAACCUUUAACAUAGUGCGUAAUCAGAUUCAGGGAAAUAUGCCAGUACUUACAGAUAGUUCAUGUGAAUGAGCA
rnacentral:misc_RNA from 1 species